CAGUAGCCGCGGGAAUACGUAGGUGGCAAGCGUUAUCCGGAAUUAUUGGGCGUAAAGCGCGCGUAGGCGGUUCUUUAAGUCUGAUGUGAAAGCCCACGGCUCAACCGUGGAGGGUCAUUGGAAACUGGAAAACUUGAGUGCAGAAGAGGAAAGUGGAAUUCCAUGUGUAGCGGUGAAAUGCGCAGAGAUAUGGAGGAACACCAGUGGCGAAGGCGACUUUCUGGUCUGUAACUGACGCUGAUGUGCGAAAGCGUGGGGAUCAAACAGGAUUAGAUACCCCAGUAGUCCCUGUCCUUAUACC
rnacentral:rRNA from 1 species